rnacentral:tRNA from 1 species
GCACCGGUGCGGUGUAAAGCGAACAUCGCUGCCCGGAAAGCAGAAGAUGCGGGUUCGAGUCCCGCCUGGCGCA